CCACGGAAAAAGAAGGCGUAGCCCAUAGGCGUCCAUGGAACGGCGAAAAAUCAGCCCCCUCUCUGAGCGCCUCGCCCCGCCCCUAUGGCCCGAAGGAGCAUAGGAUGAGAACUAUCCCGGGGACCAAUCAGCGUGCGCGCCCGGCGUGGACGAGCCCCCCUCUCUGCACCCAAUCACCUGCGACCGCGCCCUACAAAACAUCCGGCCAGCGCCACCCAAACCCCCAGGUGCCCUGACUCUGGCGCUCCCACCUGGUGAUGACCGACGGAGCGCUGACAGGCACGUCCAGGGCAUGGCUGCUCCCCCGCGCCCCGCCCUCCCCAAACAUCUCUGACGGACGGUUGGCUGCAGCCCAGGAAGCACCGUCGCGCCGCGGCCUGCAUCCCAGCCCCGCCCCUCCGAGCGGGAAGGAGGGCUGUGUGGAAUGCUCCAGCUCCCUCGCCAGCCUAAACGCAAGCCCGCUCUUUCCAGUGCAAUAAAACGAGAUGUACAACAA